GACGAACGCUGGCGGCGUGCUUAACACAUGCAAGUCGAACGGAAAGGCCCCUUCGGGGGUACUCGAGUGGCGAACGGGUGAGUAACACGUGAGUAACCUGCCCUUGACUUCGGGAUAACUUCAGGAAACUGGGGUUAAUACCGGAUAGGAAUCCUUGCUGCAUGGUGGGGGUUGGAAAGCUUCGGCGGUUUUGGAUGGACUCGCGGCUUAUCAGCUUGUUGGUGGGGUAGUGGCUUACCAAGGCUUUGACGGGUAGCCGGCCUGAGAGGGCGACCGGCCACAUUGGGACUGAGAUACGGCCCAGACUCCUACGGGAGGCAGCAGUGGGGAAUAUUGCACAAUGGGCGGAAGCCUGAUGCAGCAACGCCGCGUGCGGGAUGACGGCCUUCGGGUUGUAAACCGCUUUCAGCAGGGGCGAAGCUUGUGGUGACGGUACCUGCAGAAGAAGCACCGGCUAACUACGUG
rnacentral:rRNA from 1 species